rnacentral:snRNA from 1 species
AAUUAUUUAUCUACCUUAUAAUCUUUAGUUAAGCAAAUAGCCAAAAACGUUCUAUUGAAUUAAAAGAUAAAUUCAGAAAAGAAAGACCAUUUCUAAUCACAACCAAGGAAAAGGGUAUCAUAAGCAGAACUGGCUUAUUAGGUCUUGUUUUCAUCAUAAUAAAUCCUCAAUUCAGUUUAUAA